UACGUAGGUGACAAGCGUUGUCCGGAUUUACUGGGCGUAAAGAGCGCGCAGGCGGCGCAACAAGUCUGACGUGAAAUCUCCCGGCUUAACUGGGAGCGGUCGUUGGAAACUGUUGUGCUUGAGGCGAUGAGAGGGGUGUGGAACUCCCGGUGUAGUGGUGGAAUGCGUAGAUAUCGGGAGGAACAUCAGUGGCGAAAGCGGCACCCUGGCAUUAGCCUGACGCUCAUGUGCGAAAGCGUGGGGAGCGAACGGG
rnacentral:rRNA from 1 species